UACAGAGGUCCCAAGCGUUGUUCGGAUUCACUGGGCGUAAAGGGUGCGUAGGUGGUGAGGUAAGUCGGAUGUGAAAGCUCGGAGCUCAACUCCGAAAUGGCAUUGGAAACUACCUUGCUCGAGGGUUGGAGGGGGGACUGGAAUACUUGGUGUAGCAGGUGAAAUGCGUAGAUAUCAAGUGGAACACCAGUGGCGAAGGCGAGUCCCUGGACAACUCCUGACACUGAGACACGAAGGCCAGGGGAGCAAACGGG
rnacentral:rRNA from 1 species